ACCUGGGCUUCCAUUUCACGAUCGGAAAGGCCACCGCAAAUCUGGAUGAUACGGUCAGACAACGUAGACUUACCGUGGUCGAUGUGGGCGAUGAUUGAAAAGUUACGUAUAUUCUUCAUAUUUAGAGUUAAUUAUGCCUUACGCGUAUCAUGAGGCCACUGUUCUGUGCCUGACGUUUUUUAAUCCGAAAACGCCGCAUUCUACACUACAUCCUUGAAACCAGGAAAUGCUCUUACAGCUAGCAUCACCGGAGUAAAUGGCGGGAUCUUACGGGAGCGGUAAAUAAAAAAUAAAGGCCAGUGGAAUCACUGACCUGCUUCUGAAGAGGGUGUUUCAAUACGCACUAAAUCGGGCGCUAAACCCACGCUAAUGAUGAUCGGCUGCCACGACUGACGAGCGGCCAGGCCGGGGGAGAGCCCGCGCGCGACCAGGAACCCGCCAAUGCCGCCAAGUAUCGCGCCGCAGAGGGAGGCAAAAUCAUUAGAGAACAGCACCUGGAAAAGGGAUGCCAUCACAAACAGCCCGACCAGCGGCGCCAUAUACACUAAUAGCGCGGAGCCUAACAGGCUGCUUUCCGCGAUGCCGAGCUCCACUUUUUGCCCGACACUCAGCGGUUCUGCGCUGGGCACGCUGAUAGUGUGGCUGGUUUGCGGCCCCAGCUUAUUCAGCACCCGGCUACCGCAGCCGGCGCGCGAAGCGCAGCUGCUGCAGGACGCUUUGACAUCGCAGUGCACCUGCGCCAUCCCGUUGUGCCAGGAAACGACGGUCGCCCACUCUUUAAUCAUUGUACGGCCUUGAAUUUGAUGCUGUCGGCAAUGCGC
rnacentral:ncRNA from 1 species